rnacentral:rRNA from 1 species
ACGAACGCUGGCGGCGUGCUUAACUCAUGCCAGUCGAACGGAAAGGCCCUGCUUUUGUGGGGUGCUCGAGUGGCGAACGGGUGAGUAACACGUGAGUAACCUGCCCUUGACUUUGGGAUAACUUCAGGAAACUGGGGCUAAUACCGGAUAGGAGCUCCUGCUGCAUGGUGGGGGUUGGAAAGUUUCGGCGGUUGGGGAUGGACUCGCGGCUUAUCAGCUUGUUGGUGGGGUAGUGGCUUACCAAGGCUUUGACGGGUAGCCGGCCUGAGAGGGUGACCGGCCACAUUGGGACUGAGAUACGGCCCAGACUCCUACGGGAGGCAGCAGUGGGGAAUAUUGCACAAUGGGCGGAAGCCUGAUGCAGCAACGCCGCGUGCGGGAUGACGGCCUUCGGGUUGUAAACCGCUUUCGCCUGUGACGAAGCGUGAGUGACGGUAAUGGGUAAAGAAGCACCGGCUAACUACGUG